UGGGGAGUCGCCAAGUGGUAAGGCACGUGACUUUGGAUCACGCAUUCGCAGGUUCGAAUCCUGCCUCCCCAG
rnacentral:tRNA from 1 species